UACAGAGGUCUCAAGCGUUGUUCGGAUUCAUUGGGCGUAAAGGGUGUGUAGGUGGCGCGCUAAGUCGGGUGUGAAAUCUCGGAGCUUAACUCCGAAACUGCAUUCGAUACUGCCGUGCUUGAGGACUGGAGAGGAGACUGGAAUUUACGGUGUAGUGGUGAAAUGCGUAGAUAUCGUAAGGAAGACCAGUGGCGAAGGCGGGUCUCUGGACAGUUCCUGACGCUGAGGCACGAAGGUCAGGGGAGCAAACGGGG
rnacentral:rRNA from 1 species